AAAAACAUCGCCUCCUGCUACACAUAGGAGGUCCAGCCUGCCCAGUGACCAAGUUAAACGGCCGCGGUACCCUAACCGUGCGAAGGUAGCGCAAUCACUUGUUCUUUAAAUGAGGACUAGUAUGAACGGCAUCACGAGGGUUACACUGUCUCCCCCCUUUAAUCAAUGAAACUGAUCUCCCCGUGAAGAAGCGGGGAUAAAUAUAUAAGACGAGAAGACCCCAUGGAGCUUUAAACCCAGCAUCAACUGCCCAAACUACACCAUAUAAAACAAGCAGAUUCUGAUCCCUGGUUUUCGGUUGGGGUGACCACGGAGCAAAACAAAACCUCCACGACGAAAGGAACACCUUCCUAAUCAAAGAGCUACAACUCAAUGAAUCAACAAAUUGACAUAACUGAUCCAAAUUAUUUUGAUCAACGAACCAAGUUACCCUGGGGAUAACAGCGCAAUCCAUUUCAAGAGCUCCUAUCGACAAAUGGGUUUACGACCUCGAUGUUGGAUCAGGGUAUCCCAGUGGUGCAGCCGCUACUAAAGGUUCGUUUGUUCAACGAUUAAAACCCUACGUGAUCUGAGU
rnacentral:rRNA from 1 species